GACUCCUACGGGAGGCAGCAGUGGGGAAUAUUGGACAAUGGGCGCAAGCCUGAUCCAGCCAUGCCGCGUGUGUGAAGAAGGCCUUCGGGUUGUAAAGCACUUUUGUUGGGGAAGAAAAGCCAUGGGUUAAUACCCUGUGGUUCUGACGGUACCCAAAGAAUAAGCACCGGCUAACUUCGUGCCAGCAGCCGCGGUAAUACGAAGGGUGCAAGCGUUACUCGGAAUUACUGGGCGUAAAGCGUGCGUAGGUGGUUUGUUAAGUCCGAUGUGAAAGCCCCGGGCUCAACCUGGGAAUGGCAUUGGAUACUGGCAGUCUAGAGUGCGGUAGAGGGUAGUGGAAUUCCCGGUAUAGCAGUGAAAUGCGUAGAUAUCGGGAGGAACAUCCGUGGCGAAGGCGACUACCUGGACCAGCACUGACACUGAGGCACGAAAGCGUGGGGAGCAAACAGGAUUAGAUACCCUGGUAGUCCACGCCCUAAACGAUGCGAACUGGAUGUUGGGGACACUUAGGUCCUCAGUAUCGAAGCUAACGCGUUAAGUUCGCCGCCUGGGAAGUACGGUCGCAAGACUGAAACUCAAAUGAAUUGACGGGG
rnacentral:rRNA from 1 species